rnacentral:sRNA from 1 species
GGGUGUGAAGGAUUUCUGAUUGUGAUGUUCAUUACCCCCCUGACUUGACACGGCUGGUUCAGCUGUUCAGCCUGGCUGGCCAAGUGCCCUUCCCUAACUGCCCCUUGUGAAUCUCUCCUGCACCUGCAAGCUCAUUUGAAGAGAAUGACCUUUCCAGCACCAGAGACCUUCAGUCAAGGGGACAAACAGCUCCAUACCUCUGUCCACAACCUGCCGACUGCCUCCUGCCUUCAUUUAGCA